rnacentral:misc_RNA from 1 species
UAUGACAAUGUCAUCAACAUAAACUAUCAAAUAGAUGCAUUUGCCAUGAGAAGAAUGCCGGUAGAAUACUGAAUGAUCUGCCUCACUUCGAAGCAUCCCAAACUGUUGGACAACAGUACUAAACCGACCAAACCAUGCCCUCGGGGAUUGCUUAAGACCAUAAAGAGAUCGACGUAAUCGACACACUAAUCCAGUCUCCCCCUGAGCAACAAACCCUGG